AAGAAAUUAGCUCAGCUGGUAGAGCAUCCGUUAGAAACGGCGCGCAGGGGUUCGAGUCCCCUAUUUCGCA